rnacentral:rRNA from 1 species
GUUUGAUCAUGGCUCAGGAUGAACGCUAGCGGCAGGCCUAAUACAUGCAAGUCAAGGGGAUAGCAAUAUCACCGGCGGACGGGUGCGUAACGCGUACACAACGUGCCCAAGGGCGGAGGAAAGCGGCGGGAAACUGCCGGUAAUACUCCAUGGUGUUGUUGAGUGGCAUCACUUAACAACUAAAGUACAAGCGCCCUUGGAUCGGUGUGCGUUCGAUUAGCUAGUUGGCGGGGUAACGGCCCACCAAGGCUUCGAUCGAUAGGGGGUGUGAGAGCAUGACCCCCCCACACGGGUACUGAGACACGGACCCGACUCCUACGGGAGGCAGCAGUAAGGAAUAUUGGACAAUGGGCGGAAGCCUGAUCCAGCCAUGCCGCGUGAAGGACGAAGGCGCUCAGCGUUGUAAACUUCUUUUGGAUGGGAACAAUAACUCCGACUUGUCGGAACUUGAGGGUACCAUCAGAAUAAGCACCGGCUAACUCCGUG